rnacentral:rRNA from 1 species
AACGAACGCUGGCGGCAUGCCUAACACAUGCAAGUCGAACGAGACCUGCGGGUCUAGUGGCGCACGGGUGCGUAACGCGUGGUAAUCUGCCCUUAGGUUCGGAAUAACGCCCGGUAACUGCUGCUAAGACCGGAUAAUAUCGCCGGACCAAAGAUUUGUCGCCGUUGGAUGGGCCCGCGUUGGAUUAGCUAGUUGGUAUGGUAAAAGCCUACCAAGGCGAGGGUCCAUAGAUGGUCUGAGAGGAAGAUCAGCCACACUGAGACUGAGACACGGCGCAGACUCCUACGGGAGGGGGGAGAGGGGGAUAUAGGAAAACGGGGGAAAGCCUGAAGCAGCAAUGCCUGGUGAGUGAUGAAGGCCUUAGCGUAGUAAAGCCCUUUUACCCGGGAUGAUAAUGACAGUACCGGAAGAAUAAGCACCGGCUAACUACGUG